rnacentral:rRNA from 1 species
UGAACGCUAGCGACAGGCCUAACACAUGCAAGGUCGAGGGGCAGCACAAGGAGCAAUCUGAGGUGGCGACCGGCGCACGGGUGAGUAACACGUAUGCAACCUGCCUGUAAGCGGGGAAUAACCCGUUGAAAGACGGACUAAUACCGCAUAAUACUAAAUUACUGCAUGGUAAUUUAUUUAAACAUUUAUGGCUUACAGAUGGGCAUGCGCAUGAUUAGCUAGUUGGAGAGGUAACGGCUCCCCAAGGCAACGAUCAUUAGGGGUUCUGAGAGGAAGGUCCCCCCACACUGGUACUGAGACACGGACCAGACUCCUACGGGAGGCAGCAGUGAGGAAUAUUGGUCAAUGGACGAGAGUCUGAACCAGCCAAGUCGCGUGCAGGAAGAAUUGUCCUAUGGAUUGUAAACUGCUUUUGCAGGGGAAUAAAGUGCAUCACGUGUGAUGUUUUGUAUGUACUCUGCGAAUAAGGAUCGGCUAACUCCGUGCCAGCCGCCGC